rnacentral:tRNA from 1 species
GCCUUCAUGGUGUAAUGGUAACCCACUCGACGCGUAUUCGAGAGGUCCAGGUUCGAAUCUCCGCGAGGGCA